AAUGUCUGAAGCUCUCGAGGAAACGGCUAAAACCUGGCUCAACGAUCCAGACUGGCAAAAGAACUAAAAAUGAGUAUGUUAAUAGAAGAUACCGCCAAAACCUGGCUUACAGACCCUUCAUGGCAAAAGGUUUUUAAACAUACGUUUGAUGUUGUGAUGGACUAUGUUUGCUACGCCAUGAUGGCAACUGGUGCUCUCGCGCUUUCAGUCAAAUUUAUAACAGCCCUGGGUAGUGGAGAUGUGCUGUGUAUUAUAAUGGGUGAGUUUA